GUAAAACGUGUGACAAAACUCUCUUCAUAAUGCUUUCACAAAUUAGGCCUACUAGACUUACCUUUCUUCUAGUGCAAAGAAAAUGUUGUCAAUAUGAAUCAGUAUUAAGUUCAAAAAUAACUUUUUACUACCAUGUCAAGGCUAUAUAGAUAUGAACUUGUAUGGUUUAAAAUGCAUAGCCUAGCUAGCAUUAUAACGUAAGUCUCGGAAAAUAAUUUAACUAAUUAACUUUUUUUUUUUUAGAACUUAACCAUUCGUUAUCUUGGCAAGGCAGUUAAGAACAAAUUCUUAUUUACAAUGACGGCCUACACCGUCGCUGGGCCAAUUGUGUGCGGCACUAUGGGACUCCCAAUCAUGCCCGGUUGUGAUACAGCCUGGAUUCGAAUCAGGAUGUCUGACGCCUCUAGCACUGAGAUACAGUGCCUUAGACCGCUGCGCCAGUCGGGAGCCCAUUUAAAUUGAGGUAAAAUAUUUUCCGGUUUUCCGGGACGUACGUUACAGCUAGGCUAUGCAUUUUAAUUUAUACAAAGUUCAUAUCUAUUUCAAGAAUAAACUCCGCUAAAGCUACAAUGAUAACCGAGAAAACGUAUUUUGUUUCGAUUUCACUGUAGCUUACGCCCACCGUUUUAGCCGCAGAGGUCCGAUAUCAAUCUCUUUUCCCAAAACUACAGGCGGAGAGUUACCGUCACUUACCUUGAUCAAAACCGCUCCUACAUGACAAAUAGUGAUGCAGUUGAGUCUCCAAAAUUAAAAUCUAUUUUUAGUAAAAGUUUAAGAAAUACAUUCCAAUCUCCCAAGAGACGCCCGGGUGUUAAAUCGCGAGUUCUAGAGAGGGGGCGGACUCAAACGGGAAAAUGGACACGUCAUGCUCUUCAGUCACACAGUCAGAGGGUCCAGAGUCACAUCUAUCUCAUUCUCUCAUCCUAUCUGAGACACGAUGCAUCUCUUCUGGUGGAUCACCCACAUCUUUCUAUCCCUCCCUUCUCUCCUCUCUCUAGUCCAAUCCCUCACAUGCGACAAUGAGACACAGUAUGCUUGGCCACUGCAUGUAAGCCAAUGGUGCUGCGACAAGUGUCCACCAGGUAAGCCAUUUGAAAAAUACUUUCAUCAGUUGUGUGUGUGUGUGUGUGCAUGUGUAAAUGAAUGUGUUGCCCUUUACAGGUCAGCAUCUGGUGGGACGCUGCACUGGUCAGAACAGCCCUACCCAGUGUACUGACUGCGAUAGCGGCUACUACUCAGACAGCUACAACUUCAACAUAGGUUGCAAAUCCUGCGAUGGCUGCAGCAUGAGUGGUGAGUGUGUGUGGGUGUCUAUACAUUUCCAGCAAAAUAUGAUUGGCACUGAUACUUGUCUUGUUUGUCUGUCUAAAACGGUUACUCACCUAUUUUUCUAAGUCAUAGUUAUGAAGGACUUUACAGAUGAAAACACACAGCCUGCUAGGGAUUUCCCCCUUCACUGUACCAUGGUGGGACACAGUCAGAGAGAGAGGGGGAGGGGGGCACUGAGAAACACUGACUCACCCACCCAGGAGUAGAGGAGGGUUGGGAGGCCUGGAGGGCAGAAGGGAUGGCAUGUCUACCAAGUAAUGUCAAGGAUAUCAGUGGUGAUGGGGGGGACAGUGGGAGGGGUUAGUGGUAGACCGAUAUCAUCUCACCCGUGGAAAUAACCUUUUUACUUUAAAGAUAAACAUUGGAAAGUACAGCUGACAGAACAUUCUCAAUACAUCGUUGUCAUCAAGUGUAGUGGGGGACAAAAAUAGAGAUUAACUAUUUUUAAAUAGAGGUGAGAGAGGUUUGAGAGUAGUCACAGACUCGGUGAACACAUUUGAACUGUCAUUCACUCUAGUCAAGUGUGUGUGUGUGUGUGUGUGUGUGUGUGUGUGUGUGUGUGUGUGUGUGUGUGUGUGUGUGUGUGUGUGUGUGUGUGUGUGUGUGUGUGUGUGUGUGUGUGUGUGUGUGUGUGUGAGAAGGGUGGGGUCUGAUGGUAAUAUACACUUCAUAGGACCUUGUUGAAUCAGUCAAAAGCUGAUUCAACAAGGUCCUAUGAGUCAUUUUGAAGAUGAGUUAUUUCAUCAUAUUCAGGCAUGAUUUCAGAUUGUGUUUGACUACGUGACAAAAACACUAUGUCAAAGUCAGUAUACAUGAAGGCACACAGACAAAUAGACCAUCUAUGACUUGUGUUCCGUUACAGAGCUGCAGUAUGUAUCUCGCUGUUCCACCAAGCAGAAUGAUGUGUGCAGCUGUAAACCAGGCUACCGCUGCAGAGGCAGUGGCACCUGUCUGGACUGUGAGGAGAUCCCCAGCCCGAACACACCCAAAC
ensembl:lncRNA